rnacentral:misc_RNA from 1 species
UACGGAGGGGGCAAGCGUUGUUCGGAAUUACUGGGCGUAAAGGGCGUGUAGGCGGUUUGUCGAGUCAGGCGUGAAAGCCCCGGGCUUAACCUGGGAACUGCGUUUGAUACUGACAGGCUAGAGGUUGGGAGAGGAGAGUGGAAUUCCCAGUGUAGAGGUGAAAUUCGUAGAUAUUGGGAAGAACACCAGUGGCGAAGGCGGCUCUCUGGUCCACACCUGACGCUGAGGCGCGAAAGCGUGGGGAGCAAACAGG